UACGAAGGGGGCGAGCGUUGUUCGGAAUUACUGGGCGUAAAGGGCGCGUAGGCGGCCGAUCAAGUUAGAUGUGAAAGUCCUGGGCUUAACCUGGGGACUGCAUUUGAUACUGAUUGGCUUGAAUUCGGGAGAGGAUAGCGGAAUUCCCAGUGUAGAGGUGAAAUUCGUAGAUAUUGGGAAGAACACCGGUGGCGAAGGCGGCUAUCUGGACCGACAUUGACGCUGAGGCGCGAAAGCGUGGGGGGCAAACAGG
rnacentral:rRNA from 1 species